CAGAGUAGAAAUUCCCAUGAGAUUUAUGGAUAUAAAAAAUUCUGAAAAAAAAAAGUAACAAUUUGCUGUUGCCACUAUCCAUUGAAAGUGAUGAGAUAUAAGUAAUAGGGGGAAAAAUGAAUGAAAUUCUGGUCAUAUACUCAUAUACUAUGCACCAGAAAGGAAAGUACAGUAAAAUAUUAUCCAGCAUUGGCCUGAUGGUAAGGUUGUGUCACCGCAACUGAGAGGUUAUGGGUUCAAGGCUUACAUCUUGCCCUUUCUCAACUCACCUCUACCGCAAAAACCUUGUGCAUAGGAGUUUUUUAGAACAUUUUUUAUUAAUCGUAAAAUUUCCAAUCUCUCUAUAGGAUUGGAGGAUCCAAGAUGAGGAUACCACAAAAUUUUAUUUACAUGGAUACAUGUCACAGACCACAAUUGUUUGGGGUUACAGUUUCAAUGAAGCUGAUGGUUGUAAGACUUCCAAUAGUAGUAAGAAUUUUCUUAGAAGGGCACAAAAAAUGGUCAUGGUGUCUAAAUUAAAAUAUUGUAAAUACGGAAAAGUACUGCUGUCACACCCAUCUUUGCCUAUGGCUAUUUGGUGAUGAUGUGUGUCAUGACUCAUGGUUUCUCAAUGGUAAAAGAAAAUGAAAAGAAAAAAGAAAGAAAGAAAAUUUAAAAAAAAAAAAAA